CCGUGCUAGCCGGGGGAGUAGCGGCACCCUGUACCCACAAUCCGCUAGAGUGGGGGUGACGUCCGCUUUCGGCGUCGGCAAAAAUGGUCUGCCCUUUGGAAGGAGCGUUGAAGUUCAAGUCUUGCACAACAGAAGCCUGUGAACCGUGUCAGGGUCGGAAGGCAGCAGCACUAAGCAGUCUACUUCUUGUGUGUCGCAAGGGCGCUUGGAUGGAGCUUUGGAAGGAGGUUCCGCAUGGUUGGCG
rnacentral:SRP_RNA from 1 species